CAGGACGAACGCUGGCGGCACGCUUAACACAUGCAAGUCGAACGGAGAAACUGGAUUUAUUCAUUUCUUAGUGGCGGACGGGUGAGUAACACGUGAGCAACCUGCCUUUGAGAGGGGAAUAGCUUCGGGAAACUGAUGGUAAUACCCUAUAAUAUAUUUGUAAGGCAUCUUACUGGAUAUCAAAGAUUUAUCACUCAAAGAUGGGCUCGCGUCUGAUUAGCUUGUUGGUGAGGUAACGGCUCACCAAGGCGACGAUCAGUAGCCGGACUGAGAGGUUGAACGGCCACAUUGGGACUGAGACACGGCCCAGACUCCUACGGGAGGCAGCAGUGGGGAAUAUUGCACAAUGGGGGGAACCCUGAUGCAAGCGAUGCCGCGUGGAGGAAGAAGGUUUUCGGAUUGUAAACUCCUUUUGUCUGGGAAGAUAAUGACUGUACCAGAUGAAUAAGCUCCGGCUAACUACGUGCCAGCAGCUGC
rnacentral:rRNA from 1 species